ensembl:snoRNA LOC120094448 small nucleolar RNA SNORA16B/SNORA16A family
UUGAAAACUUAUCAAAACUUCAGCUGCUUCUAGAUAGCUUCUGUGAUCACAAUGGAGAUCUGGAGUAACCCAGUUCCUUGAGAGUUACAGUUCUGUUUGCUGUAACUGACGCAAAUUUUGGUAAAAGACAGUU